UACACUACUGGAAAAUUGAAGUUGGGAGUUAAACUGACUCUCAAAGUCUCAAGCCCAAGGAGAUGAAAUGCUUGAACACGCAAACCCAGGAGCUCAAAGUCUGGAACAAGGGCUUGGAAUAGAAUUUGCAGAACUUAGUAAAAGCGGGGUCCCAAGGAUCAAAGCAUAGGUGAAAGAUGUUAGGAAGGGGGGAAUUCACAUCAACUACCAAGAGAAAAGACUUGCAGGUUUUCAUCACGUGUCUGCCUAUUAAAGUUGUGUAUAUUUUUUAAAAUUUAAAUCUUCCAAUAUGCAUAUGCUGAAAAUCAUGAAUGUUUUCAUAAUUUUUGAAUUACUUUCUGUUGACUCAGAACGAAAUAAGAGAAAUUAGCUCUUAAGAGUAAAAUGUAUUUGUCUGUUAAUGUGGUUGGCUGUAGUUGUUCUUGCUAAGGGAAAAUUCAGUUUGUAUGCCCACCUUAUAGUGUCUACUUCAUACUGCAGAUAUAGGAACUAGUAAAAGCAGUGUGAGAUUCAGUUCCAAAUCCAAAGCCUUGUACCCCUUCCUUAAAAAAUCUACUGCUUAUAUAUAGUUAAAGGUUGAUCUUAAAUGCAGAUGGUGACAAACUAUGCUAAAUGGUUGAUCAAGAAAUGGGAAAAUUAGGCAUCCAAUAGCAAUAGCAAUAGCACAGAGAUAGGUUCUAAAAAAAAGCACGGAGAUAAAGCUGACUAGAGGAAACAAUUCCAAAAGUUGGCAAUAGAUGUUGCAUCCGGUACUUGUUUCUGAAGUUACUAAAGGGAGGGAAAAGAAUUGUGUAGAAACAUAUUUGGGCAAGGAGGGUGUAGCGCACGAAUAAUCUGCCACCUACCGUUGCGCCUCUCCUCGCCGCCACUGGCCACCGCAAGCGAGGAAGGCAAUGCCGGCGGCCCCGCACUCCUCCUGGAUGAGCGGCUACCAUUGGUAACUGCAUGUGAGGAAGGUGACACGGCUGCGAAUCGGCAGUUUUAUUUGCGAGCCAGACUCGCUAGAGCCACGCGUGCCUCUUCGCUGCACGCCUCGGAGAGCGCGGGAGACGGACGGGAUGUCUCAUAACUCCCUUCCCUCUCUCGUGUCACCGUCCACUCCUUCAUUCACACCACUCUCUCACUCUCCUCACCGCUCCUUACUCUCCUCCGAUCGCUCGCCCGCCGCCGCGCCGCCCGCUGACCCCAUCAUCGCCGGAAACAACAAUAUCCAAGACCGGUGGGUGGCCGGCCUCGUGAACUCAGGCAUUGACCUGAUGGCAGCCAUCCGCGCUCCAUCGCCCUUUUGCACCAGGCCCCAUCAUCGGGCCGAUGAGGUGUCGGCUGCUUCGGUUAUGCCGCUGUAUCCGGACCUGGUGGUCCUGGGUUCGGUUGCGCCGCUCGAGGAGACAUCAGAUCAUGAAGACGGAGUGGGACGUAGCCGGUGGAGGAGCGCAUGUCGUGGCUGGCACCGAGGGCGCCGAGGACCUGACAAACUGCUUGCUCAAAAGGGUGAACCUGCCUGGCAGGAUCGCUGCCAUGAGCCAACCACCUUCACGGGGACGGUCUCUGAGCACCAGCCACGAAGAGGGGGCAUGAGAGCCGUUGUGUUUCUACGUUCAGAUCAAGGACAUGGAGGAUCUCACCAUGCUCAUCAUCCCGCUCAAGUUCACGGAGGUGAUGAAGCAGCGGCUGGUGAUCAAGGCCCCGCGCGUCGUUACACUGUCGGCCAACAAGUGGUGCGAGUUCUAGGUUCAGGUCCAGAACUUCUUGGGUCAGAUGGUCCUUAACCGAGGCUGGCAGUACUUCUGCCGCCGCCACAGGAUCGUCCCCGGCGACCUCCUCGUCUUGUGAAUCUCCGGGCUUGGCCUCAAGGUGCAGAUCUACAACCACGACAACUCGAUCAUGUGCAGGGGUGCGCUGCAACAGGCACAACUGCAUUGGCAACAUUUCUCUCGCGCUCUAGAAGUCUUAAGUAUAAACAUGUUAGUAGUUUGUGUUGAUGAUGUGAACUAGUGCUGCAAACUUGUUUAUAUUUUGCCAGGAUCAACACGUGAU